rnacentral:rRNA from 1 species
UACGGAGGGUGCAAGCGUUACUCGGAAUUACUGGGCGUAAAGCGUGCGUAGGUGGUUCGUUAAGUCUGAUGUGAAAGCCCUGGGCUCAACCUGGGAAUGGCAUUGGAAACUGGCGACCUAGAGUGCGGUAGAGGGUAGUGGAAUUCCCGGUGUAGCAGUGAAAUGCGUAGAGAUCGGGAGGAACAUCCGUGGCGAAGGCGGCAUCCUGGACCGGUAUUGACGCUGAGGCGCGAAAGCCAGGGGAGCAAACGGG